GAUGAACGCUGGCGGCGUGCCUAAUACAUGCAAGUCGAGCGAACGGACGAGAAGCUUGCUUCUCUGAUGUUAGCGGCGGACGGGUGAGUAACACGUGGAUAACCUACCUAUAAGACUGGGAUAACUUCGGGAAACCGGAGCUAAUACCGGAUAAUAUUUUGAACCGCAUGGUUCAAAAGUGAAAGACGGUCUUGCUGUCACUUAUAGAUGGAUCCGCGCUGCAUUAGCUAGUUGGUAAGGUAACGGCUUACCAAGGCAACGAUGCAUAGCCGACCUGAGAGGGUGAUCGGCCACACUGGAACUGAGACACGGUCCAGCCUCCUACGGGAGGCAGCAGUAGGGAAUCUUCCGCAAUGGGCGAAAGCCUGACGGAGCAACGCCGCGUGAGUGAUGAAGGUCUUCGGAUCGUAAAACUCUGUUAUUAGGGAAGAACAUAUGUGUAAGUAACUGUGCACAUCUUGACGGUACCUAAUCAGAAAGCCACGGCUAACUACGUG
rnacentral:rRNA from 1 species